rnacentral:rRNA from 1 species
UACGUAGGGUGCAGGCGUUAAUCGGAAUUACUGGGCGUAAAGCGUGCGCAGGCGGUUCGUUAAGUCAGAUGUGAAAGCCCCGGGCUCAACCUGGGAACUGCAUUUGAAACUGGCGGGCUUGAGUGUGGCAGAGGGGGGUGGAAUUCCGCGUGUAGCAGUGAAAUGCGUAGAGAUGCGGAGGAACACCGAUGGCGAAGGCAGCCCCCUGGGCCAACACUGACACUGAGGAGCGAAAGCCAGGGGAGCAAACGGG